UACGUAGGGUGCGAGCGUUGUCCGGAAUUAUUGGGCGUAAAGGGCUCGUAGGCGGUCUGUCACGUCGGGAGUGAAAACUCAGGGCUUAACCCUGAGCCUGCUUCCGAUACGGGCAGACUAGAGGUAUGCAGGGGAGAAUGGAAUUCCUGGUGUAGCGGUGAAAUGCGCAGAUAUCAGGAGGAACACCGGUGGCGAAGGCGGUUCUCUGGGCAUUACCUGACGCUGAGGAGCGAAAGCUAGGGGAGCAAACGGG
rnacentral:rRNA from 1 species